AGAGUUUGAUCCUGGCUCAGGACGAACGCUGGCGGCGUGCCUAAUACAUGCAAGUCGAACGAGAGCGACCGGUGCUUGCACUGGUCAAUCUAGUGGCGAACGGGUGAGUAACACGUGGGUAACCUGCCCAUCAGAGGGGGAUAACAUUCGGAAACGGAUGCUAAAACCGCAUAGGUCUUCGAACCGCAUGGUUUGAAGAGGAAAAGAGGCGCAAGCUUCUGCUGAUGGAUGGACCCGCGGUGCAUUAGCUAGUUGGUGAGGUAACGGCUCACCAAGGCCGUGAUGCAUAGCCGACCUGAGAGGGUGAUCGGCCACAUUGGGACUGAGACACGGCCCAAACUCCUACGGGAGGCAGCAGUAGGGAAUCUUCCGCAAUGGACGCAAGUCUGACGGAGCAACGCCGCGUGAGUGAAGAAGGUUUUCGGAUCGUAAAACUCUGUUGUUAGAGAAGAACAAGUGCUAGAGUAACUGUUAGCGCCUUGACGGUAUCUAACCAGAAAGCCACGGCUAACUACGUGCCAGCAGCCGCGGUAAUACGUAGGUGGCAAGCGUUGUCCGGAUUUAUUGGGCGUAAAGCGAGCGCAGGCGGUUCCUUAAGUCUGAUGUGAAAGCCCCCGGCUCAACCGGGGAGGGUCAUUGGAAACUGGGGAACUUGAGUGCAGAAGAGGAGAGUGGAAUUCCAUGUGUAGCGGUGAAAUGCGUAGAUAUAUGGAGGAACACCAGUGGCGAAGGCGACUCUCUGGUCUGUAACUGACGCUGAGGCUCGAAAGCGUGGGUAGCAAACAGGAUUAGAUACCCUGGUAGUCCACGCCGUAAA
rnacentral:rRNA from 1 species